ACAUGAAGCUGGAGUUACUAGUAAUCGCAGAUCAGAAUGCUGCGGUGAAUGCGCUCCCGGGUCUUGUACACACCGCCCGUCACACCACGGAAGUUGGGGGCGCCCGAAGCCACUUAGCUAACCCUUUUGGGAAGCGAGUGUCGAAGGUGAAAUCAAUAACUGGGUGAAGUCGUAACAAGGUAAC
rnacentral:rRNA from 1 species